UUGCCUUUAUUUUGAAUACUUUGUAAUGAAACUUUCCUAAGGCAUUCUCCCUUACCUGCCACCAUGCACGGUGUAGGCAGAACUCUUGGAAUCUCUUCUUGGUAGGCCAGGAUCAGGUGUAUGGAAACACCCAUAGGGCUGAAUUCUGCACCAAUGGCAAUGUCCUCAGGGAUUAAAACCACAUUCAGACUGCUGGUUUUUUGAGUUCUUUUAUCAGAAGUGAUGUAAUUUCUGAAAAAGCAAAACAACAAGAAGAUAAGUGGAAAAGGCUCAAAGGCCGCUAAUGAGUGGGAAAAUUGGCCAGUGGCUAAAAGCCAAGUGCCUUCUUGCAACUAAAAAGCCUUGAUUAUUUUUCUGCUGCUGAAGGAGGCAGAACAGAACAUCUACACUUACCUCCUGAGUAGCUUUCUCACAAGCCUGUGAGAUGUUCUGUUCUACCUUCUUGACUGGCAGGAACAUGAAGAGGCAGACACAUGUGAACUUUAGGAGGAAGUAUUUGAAGCCCAGGGGAUUGUGGUGAAAAAGACAAACACUGCCCCAUCUGUCCUGAAACAGACAUUUCAGAGGAGGGAAAUGGAUGAUAAACAGGUAAGUAAAUACUGUAGGUAAACAGAAUGGUUUCAAAUCACAAUAAGUCCCAUGAAAUAAACACACAGACUGUGUCACAGGACUUUCAGCUGAGACCCCUUUGAGAUGCAGUGACUUCCCAUGUUUGCCUGAAAG
rnacentral:lncRNA from 1 species